CCCUAAAAACGCCUAACAUUGGCUCAACCCGGGUUCAGUUGGCAUAACCAAAACUCAUUCACAAAAUUUCAAAAUGGAUUUUUCUAUAUAAAACUUGGCUAUGAUACCAACAAAUAACAAGGAUCGUUUAAAUGUGAUGGAUAGUUUACUACACAACAAAUAACAAGGAUUUAGUUUAAGGAUAGUUUACUACAAAACAAAAUCACAAAAAUUAUUAAAACACAAAGGAUUUAAAAUUAGUGGCUUCCAAGAUCAUAGCCAAAUUUGGCUUCUAAGAUCAUAGCCAAAUAAUAACAGUAAUUAACAUAAAAUUUUUAAAUGGUUUAGGGUUCCUGCAACCUUAACCUGGAAUCCCCAGAAUUAAGUCUGAUUGUGGAGGGAGAAGAGAAAGGUGCCGUCAACACGGACUUACAAUGUAUAUAAAAUUUAAGAAACUUACUGUAUUAAUAAAACUUGAGAAGGAUGAGAGAAAUAUUAUAAGAAGGUAACAUGAUUGUGUGCCUUCACAAGGGGAAAGGCUCCCUAUUUAAAGAAAAUUUUUGAAUCUUUACUGUUUUCAUAUGAUUAGAUGAGGACGAAACUUUUACUGCUCAAGAAUAGUUUGUCUGCCAUCGAAUCUUUACCGUUUCUGGCUUUUAACUAUUCCUUGAAUAAUAGUCUGUCUGCCACCGAAUCUUUACUGUUUUUGUCUUUACGCUGAGUCUAAAGAUGAGGACGAAGAUGUGUCCUUCUUUUUCUUUCCUUUUUUCUUUAGCUUUUCUUUCUUUUCUUUUUCUUUUUUCUUUUCUUUUCUUUUUAUCUUGUCUGUCUUGCUCUUUAUUUUGAUAGCUGGAAGUAUUCCAUAGUAGUCAUCUUCAUUGCUGUCACAAUAGGAAGAUGUCGGAUUUUUACUGGAGGAUGACGUACUGGAUGACGCUGUCGACUCCGAUUCCGAACUGGACUAUUUUUUAUUUUUCCUUCUGCUGAGUGCUUUUCUUGAUGAAUCUUUACUGGAGGAUUUAAUUUCUUCUUGCUUUAGUUCUUCAUUCUUUACUGAUUCUCCUGAGCCAAGAUGAUUAAACAUUUACUGGCAAAUCAUCUUAUAUUCUUCAGGAGUUUUAGCUGCUGCAAGUAAUGCCUGGCACAGAGCCUUCUGUGCUCCAAAUGAAGGUUGUUCUUGCAGAGUUAAUUUACUAGCAUAAGAGACAGUAGGAAACUGAGCUCUUUUGAUGAUCCAAUUUUUUACAACAAUUUCUGUGGUGGUAUUUUUGAAUGAUCCCCACCAUUUUAUACGAUAACUGGAAUAUUAGAUCUUGUCAUAUACUGAAAAUCAAAAAACCAUUGAUAUACCCAAGGGAUAAAAAAUUGCAUACAAAAAUACAUUAAAGAGGAAUAUACAUCUCACUCUGAGCUGGUUUAUAAUUAGUUUUAAAAUACUGAUAUACUUGAAAUACUUCUUGUGAUAAAAUUUCAUCAGUAAUACCUCUAUAUAACUACCAUCUUAAAAACUAGUAAGGAAAUCUGGGGGUUGUUUUAAUACUAUGUUGAUCAAAAUAUAUUAACCAGGAGUGAGUAGUGGCAGGGUUUUGAAUACUAAAAAUAUUUUUCUAUGCAUCUAUAUAAUCAAAAUAAUUGUAUGAAGUACAAUACUUUUUUAAGUUUUUAAAUGUCAGGGCAGUGUAUAAAUUCGAGGUCGGCCAAUCUUUUGGAUGGAUAACCCGUUUUAUUUGUAUAGAAUAAUAUGCUACUAUAUUUUUAUGGUUUUUAUCAAAAUUAUGUUUUAUUUUUACUGAAUCCGUUUCUUCCAAAAUACUACAAUAAUAUUCCUGAGGUUUUGAAAGAUUUUUUGGCGUGAAAUACCAAUUCUCAGGAUAAUACUUUCGAAUUACUUCUUAUGGGUUUAUAUCAUUAAAACCAUUUUCAACUUCUAUUUCAAAUUCUGAAAUAUUCUUUAAAAACCAUUUAUGAAAACCAGUAUUAUAUCCAUAGGAAAAUUGGAUUUUUGGCAAACCCACAGCCUUCAACGGAUUUGAUGAGUCUUUACUGUCUACCGUUUGAGACAGACUAGUCGUACCAUGAACGGGUACGAUCGCUUUAGAUUUAAAAUUCAUACCUGAGGCUCCUGAUGAAGACGUCAUAUUUUGUAUUGCUUUAAUCACUUCUGGUGAUUGACUUAGUUCUUCAAUCCAUUUCUUUAAAUCUAUCUGACUCUGGUAUUUUAACUGGGGUUUUAGGGUUUGAUUUAAAUAUUCUGAAUGCUCUGAAAGAGCUUUAGGAGUAGAGCUUGAACUAGAUUUUAUUUCUUUCUGUUUAUUCUUCUUUCGCCCCAUUGUUCUGUAGAAAUUCUCGAGUAAGAAAAUCUGGUAUAUUGUUAUUACUCCCUUUAAAAUACUCAAUAUCAAAAUUAAAAAUACUUAAAAGUGUUUGUCAUCUAGUAAAAAUUUGUUUAGAAGCAAGAUUUUUGACAUCUUUCUUUAAAAUAUCUUUUGCUGAUUUACAAUCAAUUCUGACUAAAAAUUUUUGAUUUAACAAAUUAGAUUGAAAUUUAUUUAUACCUAUUACUAUACUCAAAAUUUCCUUUUUAAUGGUUGAAUAAUUUAUUUUGGCCGAAUUUCAGUGUUCUGAAGUGAACUGAAUUAUUCUUUCUUUAUUAUAUAUCGUUUGUUUUAAAAUUCCCCCAUAUCCUAUAUCCGAAACAUCUGUUUCUACAAUUUUAAAUGUUGUUGGAUUAAGAAUAUAUAAACAUGGAAUCUCUUUUACUAAUGAUUUAAUAUGUCUUAUGAUGCUGGUAUGUUUAUUAGUCCAUGGUCCUGGAUUUUAUUAGUCCAUUUAACCUGUCAUGAAGUGGUUUUAUCAUCAUGUUUAGAUUUGGAUAAAAAUCAAUGAUAUAAUUUAGACAUCCAAGGAACCUUUGUAAUUGAGUUUUAUUUGUUAUUUCAUCAGGAAAUUUAUCUCCAAAUACCAUUGUUCUUUCAAUUGGUUGAAAUAUUCCUUGUUUAAUAUAAUGACCUAGAAAUCUAGUUCUAGUCUCAAAUAAAUGCAUUUUAGUUUUACUUAACACUAAACCAUUCUUCUUUAUGAUCAUGCAAAAUGUUUUUAGAUGUUUAAAAUGUUCUUCAAUAGUUUGACUGAAUAUUAAAACAUCAUCAAUAUAAACAAUACAAAAUCUUGAAAAUGGAUUAAAAAUAUAAUUCAUAAUUCUUUGAAAUACUGAUAGUGCAUUUUUUAAACCAACAGGCAUUACGUUCCAUUCAUAGUGUCCAAACGGAACAGUAAAUACAGUUUUACAAUGAUCUUUAGGCUGUAUUUGAAUUUGCCAAUAAUAUGAUUUCAUAUCAAAUUUACUAAAAAUAUUAGCAUUAAAUAAUUUAUUUAAAAGGUCUUUUUUAUUUAAAAUUGGGUAUCUUAUCCAUUUUAGUGCUUUAUUUAAUGGUUUAUAAUUUAUAACUAAUCUAAGUGUUCUUCUUUCAAUUUCUGCAUUUUUAUUGACAUAAAAAGCUACACAUGACCAAUGACUUCUUGAUUUACUUAUUAAUUUCUUAUCUUCAAGGUUUUUAAUUUCCUUUUUACAAUGUUCCAUUAAAUAUGGUUUCAUUUGAAUUAGUCUUGCCUUAGUUGAUAUCAUCUUUUCAUUAAAAUUUUCUUCAUACGGUAAAUCUACUAUAUGUUGUUUUCUAUUCCAAAAAACAAUUGGAUGUUCUGAACAUAAUUCAUUUUUCAUAUAAUUUUUUAAACUUUCUAUUCUAGCCUUUACAAUGUUUUAUUCUAAUUGAAUUUUUAUUCUAUUUAAAUGUACAUUAUUCUUUAAAUCUCUUAGGUCUUCUGUUUUGGAUUUUAUUAUUGAAUUUAUUUCCAUUACUCUAAUAGAAUGCGCUUUUAUUAGAUUUAAAUUUUUUCUUUUAGGUUUCUUAGUAAAUACUAAUUUUAUUAUUUUGUUUUUUAUUUUAAACUUUAUAGAGUCAUCUUUUACUGAAUAAAGUGUUAUAAGAUUUAUAAAUGGUGUUCUUAAUAUUACCAUGUGAUUUAUUUAUUGAGAUAAAAAGAAUAUAGUUUUUAUUUCUAGAUCUUGAUUUACUAUUAUUGCCUCCGUCUUUUCUAAAAUAUUUAGAUUAGUUUUAUUUGCAGUUGUUAACUUUUCUUUAGUCUCUUUCCAAGAUCUUUUAGGUAUCAAGUUUGAUUUUACACAAUUUAGAUCUGCUCCUAUAUCAAAUAAUGCUAUAGUAUUUAUUAUAAAUUUUUCUGAUAGUUUAAUUGUUAAUUUUAUUAAAUAUUUUCUAGAAGUUAUUUCUUGUAAUAGUAAUAUAAAAUUAUCAUCUACUUCUUUACUAUCUAAUUGACUUAUUUCAUUUUGUUCAUCCUCCUCUUCUCUUUCGGAUGAAGAAGAUGAUUCAGAAAUUAAUUGUUCUUAUAAUAGUUUUAUCCUUUUUGCAUCUUUUUGAAGUUGAUUUUUUAAUUCUUGCACUUCUACUUUUAUUAUUCUUAUUUCUUUAUUCAAAUCUUCUAUAGAUGUUUUUUCUAUUAAUUGUUUAUUUUUACUUAAUAUUUUAGUUAAAUUAUACGUUUGUUUAUUUAUUUUAUUUAUUUUAGGGAUAUUGUGGUCAAAUCCUUCUGCUUCAUCAAAACUUUUAAUUAAUUUUUUAAGAAAUUUUUCUUUAGUACUACUAUCUUCAAUAUUAUUUAUUAAUUCUAAUAAGGAACUUUGUUCUUUAGUUGAAACACUUAUUGAUUUUUCUGAUGAACUAGUUUAUAAUUCAUCUACUUGAUUUUCAUUUUCCAUUAUAUCCGAUCCUAAAGUUUAUGAAUCUAUAUAUAAUUCUUGAAUUUUAUUUAUGACUUCUUCAUCUAAACUUAAAUCAUUUAGUUUUUUGUUAAACUUACAAAAUUUAGAUAUAUGUCCUUUCUUUCCACAAUUAUAACAUGCUAAAUCUUUAAAUGAUUUCUUAACUUGGUUCUUCUUAUAAUGCUUUCUUUGUUGCAAUUUUGAACAUUGACCAUUACAACUCUUAUUUUGACUUAUUCCAUCAUCAAACUGUUUACAAAAAUAUCUUAGUUCUUGUUUAGUUUUAUGCAUUUCAUAUUUUAAAGUUCUUUGCAAUUUUAGAUCGUGGCAAAUUUGUAAACCUUCCUUUUGAAUUAUACUUAUCAAUUGUCCAUAUGUCAUUUUACUAUAAGGUAUUGGGUUUCCAAAUUGUUGUUUUAUAUUAUUUCGUACUUUCUCUCCUAGGAAAUAAGGAAGUCCUGCUAAAAAUUUUUCUUUCCAAAAAUCUUGAUUUGAAUCUUCUCUUAACAUUAACCUAGUAAAAAAUAUAGUUUUAUAAUACUGAAAAUCACUCAAUUUUUUACAUUUUAAAUUACUUAAUAACUCAACAUUUUUAUCUUGAUAUGGCUUAAAGAUGUGUGACUUUAUUUUUUGUUUUAUUUCUUCUUUUUCUUCUAUCUGUUUAUUUUUUAAAAGGUUUUCUAUUUUUUUUAAUUGAGUUUCUAUGCAUAUUAGACUUGCAUUACUAAAAUUAUUUUGUUCUAUUGUCUUUUUAUCUGUAUCAUUUUCUUUAGUUAUUUUAUAAGGUGCACAGAUUAUUUCCUUAUUCCCACGUAAUAUUUUACUUACUAUUUUGGGUGAAAAUUCACUUUGAAUUACUGUAUCUCUUACUGUUAUUGGGUUAAUAUUUUUUGUUUUAUAUAAUUUAAACCACUUAAAAAAAUUUAUUUCUUCAUUAUUUUUAAUAUACUCAAAGUAUUUUUCCUUUAAAUUUUCAAAAUUAUUUUCUUUAACUAUUUUAUUUAAUUUACUUAAAUUUUUUGUUUUUGUUAUUUCUUUGAUAAAAUUUUUUUCAAUCUUUUCUUUACUAAUUACAUUUAAUUCUCUUUCUUCAGUUUUUAUCACAUAAUCUGUUUUAAAAAUAUUUAAUUUUGAAAUUUUAUAAAUCUGUUCUUUAUCUACUUUAGAAAUUUCCCACUCAUCAAUAGUUUUAACAAAAUCUCCUAAUAUUAACUCAUUUUUAUUUAUUACUCUUUUAAUUUUUGAAAACUCCGAAUCAUCCGAUUUAACUGUACUUGCCGAUUUACAUAAAAAAUGAUUCAUUUUUAAAAUUUUUUUAAAUUAUGUUGCAGUCACUACCUGUUAUACCCUAAAAACGCCUAACAUUGACUCAACCCGGAUUCAGUUGGCAUACUCAAAACUCAUUCACAAAAUUUCAAAAUGGAUUUUUCUCUAUAAAACUUGGCUCUAUACCAACAAAUAACAAGGAUCGUUUAAAUGUGAUGGAUAGUUUACUACACAACAAAUAACAAGGAUGGAUUUUUAGUUUAAGGAUAGUUUACUACAAAACAAAAUCACAAAAAUUAUUAAAACACAAAGGAUUUAAAAUUAGUGGCUUCCAAUAUCAUAGCCAAAUUUGGCUCCCAAGAUCAUAGCCAAAUAAUAAAAGUAAUUAACAUAAAAUUUUAAAUGGUUUAGGGUUCCUGCAACCUUAACCUGGGAUCUCCAGAAUUAAGUCUGAUUGUGGAGGGAGAAGAGAAAGGUGCCGUCAACACGGACUUACAAUGUAUAUAAAAUUUAAGAAACUUACUGUAUUAAUAAAACUUGAGAAUAUUUACAGAACUUCUGAAGGGUUUUUAGAGAAGAAAGGAUUACAGAGAGAGUAGGGAGAAGGAUGAUAGAGAAGAAAGGAUUACAGAGAGAGUAGGGAGAAGGAUGAGAGAAAUAUUACAAGAAGGUAAUAUGAUUGUGUGCCUUCACAAGUGAAA
rnacentral:lncRNA from 1 species